rnacentral:rRNA from 1 species
UACGAAGGGGGCUAGCGUUGCUCGGAAUCACUGGGCGUAAAGCGCACGUAGGCGGGUCGUUAAGUCAGGGGUGAAAUCCUGGAGCUCAACUCCAGAACUGCCUUUGAUACUGGCGAUCUCGAGUUCGGGAGAGGAGAGUGGAAUUCCCAGUGUAGAGGUGAAAUUCGUAGAUAUUGGGAAGAACACCGGUGGCGAAGGCGGCUCUCUGGACCGAUACUGACGCUGAGGCGCGAAAGCGUGGGGAGCAAACAGG